rnacentral:lncRNA from 1 species
GCGAUGAGGACGCGCUCGGGACACUCACGUUUUCUGCACCGGCUUCCGCCGCUUGCGACUGGCGUAGGUGAUGUUGGCGCUGCUGCUGUUCAUGGUGCCCAGCCGACGGCGGCGGCUACUCCCCGGGCACUGGCGGCCGGGUCCCCGGAACCCGGUGUAGGCUGGGACCACUGCGGCGGCCGGCGCCGGGUUCCGCGAAGCCGCGCCCGCUCCACCUGCGUCCUCUCGGGACAGUGGCGUGGGCGCCGCGCCUCAACGCCUCGGCUCACGCAGGCUUCCGCAGCCCGCGCCAGUACAGUGUUGUGAACCACUUGUCAUGGGAUAACCAAAAUUAAACCUGGAAUCGCAGAAGAAACAAAUUUUUUGAAGAAAUUGGAUGUACUUUUUUAAAAUUUUUCAUUCAACUAAAACUUUGUUAACUGUUUCUUGGUUGUGGUCUUCUCUAAAUUGUAAUCUUUGGCAUUCACUUCCAAAGUAUCCACCACUAAACUUCAUAACAUUUAUUGUGUCUCUUCAUCAUUAAACUUUGAUGAAUUUACA